UACGUAGGGGGCUAGCGUUGUCCGGAAUCAUUGGGCGUAAAGAGCGUGUAGGCGGUCCGGUAAGUCCGCUGUGAAAGUCGGGGGCUCAACCCUCGAAUGCCGGUGGAUACUGUUGGGCUAGAGUGCGGAAGAGGCGAGUGGAAUUCCUGGUGUAGCGGUGGAAUGCGCAGAUAUCAGGAGGAACACCAAUAGCGAAGGCAGCUCGCUGGGACGGUAUUGACGCUGAGGCGCGAAAGCGUGGGGAGCAAACAGG
rnacentral:rRNA from 1 species